rnacentral:rRNA from 1 species
CAAUAGCAUAUAUUAAAGUUGUUGCAGUUAAAAAGCUCGUAGUUGGAUUUCUGGUCGGAAGCUCCUGUCCUCUGAUGAGCGUACAAGUGCGUCCUACCAUCCUUCUGUUAACCUUUAAGGCUUUCGCGGCUUUCUAGGGGCUCAGAUAUUUUACCUUGAGAAAAUUAGAGUGUUUCAGGCAGGCUAGCGCCGGAAUACAUUAGCAUGGAAUAAUGGAAUAGGACUUUUGCCUCUUCUGUUGGUCAUGAGGCUCGAGUAAUGAUUAAUAGGGAUAGUUGGGGGCAUUAGUACUUAACUGUCAGAGGUGAAAUUCUCGGAUUUGUUAAAGACUAACUUAUGCGAAAGCAUUUGCCAAGGAUGUUUUCAUUAA